CCCCAGAGUGCUGAGAGAGGUUGAGAGAGCGGUGUUGUGGCUAGCUUGAUUUUCACAGAAAAACUUCAAGUAAUAAAAAAUGGAAGUCCAUUUUCAGAACUGGAAUUAAAAGAAAAGGUUAUGAAAGUGAAAAAGGCAUUUCAAGACCGAAAAUUGUUAUUAGUUGGAGACGUGCGCACAGCGUACCGGAAGCUGCACAGUCAAAACUACGGGCUGCACUUUGACUUCCCCAGGCUCAAGAUUGAACUGACAGUCAUGUACAAACUUUAGCAAACUUUGAGGCAAGGAGCCCAUCAGACCUGCUGACAGGAUCGCGUGGGAGCUUUGGUACUGAUGUCCAUAGAGAAAGGACUUCUUUUGGAGCUCAAGUCAAAGGACAAACUUUACUACGCUGCCAUCGCCCACUUCACAAGGAAAGACCGACGAAUGGAUUUCGUUUUCAUGUAAGAUGCUCCUGCCUGACAGGUCUUGGCAGGGAGAGAAGAUGCCCUUGGAGAAGGGGUAGUCUGAUCAAGAAAAUGCCGGUGUGCAACACUGCAGAAAACGUCCCUCAAAGAAAGGACCUCUGCAGUGAGAAUUCAGGGUACUGGAUGUCGAGGUGUAGGACUUGGCCCGUCUCUCAGCUGGUGGCCACCUGGCUCCCGACUCUUCUUCUGAUUUCAAAGAAAUAUCUAUAUUCUAUGCAGAGAUUUCAAAGAGGAGGGAGCGGCAUCCUACCAUUGGAGAGACUCUGACAAUAAACUACAUGGAGGAAGAGCUUCAGGGACUCGCUGCCUUACUGCAGGGAUGCUGUGUGUGUGUGUGUGUGCUGAACAUGAACAGGCUUGUCAGGCACAGUGGCUGCCCUGUGAUACUGUCUUUAGAUUUGCACAAAGGACUCACAGUAAAAGCAGUUUCUCUGAUCUACUUCCUUACUGCGAAAGGGGCAUGAUAUGAACUGAGUAUCUCUUUAUUACCUGUUGGGC